GGCUGGUGCCAAUGGUAGUGGGUUAUCAGAACGUAUUAACAUUAGUGUCACCGAAAUUGGUAUACAACCUCCCACUGCUAAAUGUGACUGGCUUUAA
rnacentral:Y_RNA from 1 species